ACACUGUGUGUUUGCAGCCCAAGAGAGUUUGGCUGAGAACUGCCCCAGUCCUGAACCACUGCUUUGGGCAACCCAGCAAAAGAGAUGGGCACAGCCCUAGACAGAGCACGGACUAAAGAAUCCCUGCUGUGCUGAAAAAGCACUGUCUGUGUUGAUGACCAGUGUAAAAGAUGUGUCUGGAGGAUUAAAAAGUUGAUGCAAUGAAACAAGAGGCUAGCUCCAAUGUGCCAUUAGGGUGGAGAGACUUCCCUGUGACUCACUCCUACCAUGGAGCAUUGAUGUAUGAUGCUAAAGCUGUUUCCCUGGAACACAUGGGAUCCAGACUUGAGCAAGGAAGGCCAAAGUGAAAUGAAAGCAACAGUGCUCAUCUCAAGCUUUGCUCACAGUUCUGCAACAGGAGAAAGACUGUUGAGAAAGUGGUGGCUGGCUUGAUCCCAGUUCCUCAGGUGAUCCCACUUGGAAUCCCUCUUCCAGGGAAGGCUAACCAUGAAGUAGACACAAAUACGCUUCUAGAAAUGAAAUCAGGUCUGAGUAAGAGCUUUGAAUCCAGGUAAAAAUGUCUUUUACAUGUUCAUGUGAAACUUUGAGCCUUGAGACUUUUGUUUGUGUUUCAUGGUGGUAUUUAUGAGGACACAUUUCAUUAAGGAACUUACAAAAGUAACCAACAUGUUUAAAUACACCAAGUCUACUUGCACUUAAUUUUAUGCAUUCAAACAAUAUUAUCAACAUACGAGUUAUUUCAUACAUGGUA